GUUUCAAUCCCCUCUCCGGCCCCGUAGGGUUUCAUCACUUCCCCCCCUCCCCCUCCCCCUCCUCGCACUCGACGGCGCCGCCGGAGCUUUCUUCCGCCGCCGCGCCAUGCCCAGACAAGCUCAUCGAUCUCACCCAAGCUGAUGGAGAACGGACGCAUGUCAGACCGGAUCAGGUCGCCCUCUUCUCCUCCCAGCGGCAGCGAGACGGCGGCCGAGAGACUCACCGACGACCUCCUCGUCGAGAUCCUCUCGCGCGUGCCCGCCAGGUCGCUCUGCCGCUUCAAGUGCGUCUCCAAGCACUGGCUCGGCCUCAUCAACGACCGCACCUACCGCCGGAAGCUGCCCCAGAUCCUGGCUGGCUUCUACGACGGGGGCCAAUUGGUAGAUUCAGGUGUUCCUUUCACCAAUAUCUCGGGAAGCCGCCAUCUCACAUAUCCCGCCUUCCUGCCCAGCCGCCGGAAGGUCAUGGUCGUGGACUGCUGCAACGGCCUCCUUCUCUUCUCCUCAUACGCUGGUGGCGACCAUGGCGACGAGUUAUACGUUGUGUGCAAUCCCGCCACAGAGGAAUGGGCUGAGUUGCCGCAUCCCGGUCAUUCCGGUGAUGUGUCUAGUAUAAACUUGUGUUUUGAUCCAGCCGUGUCCCCCCAUUUCCAUGUGUUUUUGUUGCCGGCUGUGGAGGUGGAGGACCAACAUGGCUACUGUCUUACCGGAGUGCAUGUCUAUUCAUCUGAAACCGGGAGUUGGGUUCAUAAGGAGAAGAGAUGGAGCGGCAAUAUCGAUGUCGGUUAUGAUCCGUCAUUUAUCUAUCUCAAUGGUUAUCUGCAUUUUUGCGCCAUUGUUGAUGAUUCUGCCCGCCAGCUAGCUGCAGUGGACAAGGAGGGGGGAGCAAGGACUGACUUCCGUGUUCCUGAUGAUCUGAAUGUUUGUUUUAUUCAGCAGUCACAGGGCUGCCUGCAUUAUGCUGGUUUUGACAGAGGUGACAAUGAUGAUGAUGUUGAUCGACUGCUAGUUUAUGUUCUUAAAGACUAUGACAGCAAAGAAUGGAUACUGAAGCAUAGCGUCGAAACUUCACAUGUGUUUGGAGGGCUUCAUGCAGUCAGCCUUUAUGAGAACUUUGAUUGGAUUGCAAUUCAUCCAGAAUGUAACUUGAUCUUCUUCACUCUGGCCUGGGAGGAUAUCACAUUCAUGUGCUAUGAUAUGGAUCGUGGACAAGUUAAAGUGAUCUGCAAUCUUGAAGAAAGCGAGCCACCAUAUUUUCCGUAUGUUCCACUAUAUGAAGAGUUACAAUCUUUGCACAAGUGACAUCAUAUUCGUGCUAUGGAGCAGUGAGCAUGGUCUACAGUUAUUUUGUAGGCACAGACGAGUACUCCAUUGAGGAACCAGCGAAGAAAAAAAGCACAUAUGUACAAAUUCGAGGUAGGCUUAUAAUUUUCUUCUUCCAAUCCAUUUAUCUUGAGAUCAUUUCCCACAAAAGGCAUACAUGAAGACAGUCGUGGGACAAAUAAUAUCUUUUUACUUUUGCCCAUAAAAUCCAUAUACAACGGCUACAAUACCUGCUGUCUGCAGUACAGUUUAUCCUGUGCCAAAGCUUGUUAGGUGAUUUCGAUUUACUGUAUAAGAUUUUUUUGUUUCUUUCCUUGAGGUCAGUGCUUAUUGCACACUUUUAUGUCAUGUCUCAAAGAAAGGUGCGGAAACAUGCAUUAUUUGGACAUGGUAUUCCUGUCAAAUGCUUCCUAUAGACUAUGCAUCAUGCCUAGAUGAUUCUUCUGUUCAGUACCAGAAGAGCACAAGUAGAUCAAGUUAUUGCAUGCUUGAACCAGCCACACCAACUUGCUUGAGUUCAGUCAAACCAUCAAGAGGUACUAAAAUGAAUCCGUGCAUGAUUAAAACUAGGAAAUAUGCCCGUACGUUGCAACGGGGGAGAAAUUGUUCUGUUUAUUGACUGCCAACAUCCCACGACAACAUUCGAAAGGUGCCACCUAAAUAUGUCCAUCAAUUGCAACGGAAGAAAAAAAACUUCACUCUCCUAUCCCAGUAAGCAUGUAAUGGUUUAAGCCUAAAACAUAAGCAAGAACCUAAAUAUAAGCUUUUGUGAUGUUUCUUGUCACAAGCGCCAACUUUAGGGAUAAAAAAAUGGAAUUUACUAUUUCAUUUAUGAUACACAUCAAUUAUUCCUGGCAUGAAUAAGAAUUAUGUGCUUUCAGCAUGCCCAUCUUUGCAAAAAGGCUACACCUCUGCAUAACUAGUCAACAAUUAAUACUACAGAAAAGCUAAUCUUGAUUGAUCAAUGUGGGCUUCCAUGUAUAGUUGUUGAGUUCCUCCUUCACAUACCUAGCUUGAUAUGCAAAUUAGCUUAAGUGAGUAUCGGUUUUCUUCUACACGGGAAUGGAUAAAAAAAGAUUUUGACCUUGAAGACGAACAGAAAAGGUAACAUGCAUGCUAUUAGGGUAUGCAUUGCAUUGAGGAUCGAAUCCUUGCAAAAUAUCUCUCUAGCACUCUUCGAGUUAUGCAAAACACAUAUGAAGUCAUACAGAAAUAAAUCAACAGAUGAAAAAUUCAGAAUUGUAGGAAUACGAAAUUACAUCUUUCGUCUAUCGCAAAAAAACCCUCUUUCCUCCUUGUAGAACAGUAGUUUCUUGUGUAAUCAAUUUAGCUAUAGAAAAACUGAUUUCACAGGGAGCGUCUACUCUCGUCUAGGAGGAGCAGAAAAACAAACAUCAUUAUAAAGGGCUAAAUUGACUCGCUGCAGUUGUGGAUGUGCGCCUGUUGGCUUACGUGCGAGUUCUUGGGAGCAAUAAAUCGAGCCAUGUACUCUCCGCCGGAUCGAUGCAGCUUUAUAAACAUAAUAUGCCAAGUAGCGUGCGUGCGUAUUCAUCAUUAUGCUAACACAGAUCAAUCAAGCUGGCCGGCAACUUGUAUUUUGCUGCUGCUGCGCACGUGGGUUUUUGUUUACCUAGGAAAGAGUUGAUCCUACUGCUUUGUAAACUUGCCCGCCACAUAAUACUGUUUCUCGGUAACAUGCAUUUGCUUGGAGUAAUCAGCACUCGGCAAGAAUGUGAUGCACCAGAGUGAACUUGUAAUCUGCGAGGAGGAUGCUCCUGAGUCCCUGACGGCAGCGGCGCGGUUCAGAAACAGCGAUAUGAAGCCGGUGUUCUCUCGGCACGCCUUGUUGAGGCGGAAACAAAUCCUCUAGAUGUGACCCAAAAAAUCGAUGAAGGGAGAGGAGCCCGGCCGGCUGGACAUCCUGCAAGUGACGGCAAGGGAGGAGCGUGUGACGAUGGUGUUCCUGGACUCCCGGUUGCAGACACCACCCUGCAAAGGCAACCGAGGCGACAACCUGUUGCUUUGUACAAUUGUUUAGGCAGAUGAUGUCUAUAAUACGAUGGCAUGUCGACUAUAGACUGUACUAUAGACACACUCUUACUAUGGUCUGUCUAUUUAGUUGUCUAUAUAGGCCCUAAAAUUUGGAAAACUGGGAGAAAAUCAUCAUGACUUUGAAAACCAGAGCAGAACAUGCAUGAGUACUCCAAUGUCAAACAAACAAAGAUAAAAACACAGCCGGAGCAGCGAUUUGUUGAGCAGGCCUUAUAGAGCCCGUGAUGAUGGUUGUUGCUCCUCCUGCGGAUUAAACCACCGACUGCCUCUUUCCUUCCUUGCUUAAUUUCAGCCCGGAUGACUUAUUUCCUUCCUUAUUCUCUUUCCAAUCAUAUAGAGGAACGGACCAGCGGCUUAUUCUUCUUUCCUUCCUUAUUUAUCUGAACAUGACAAAUUAUUUCCUUCCUUAUUGACUCUUGAGAAGGCUCCUUGAUACCCAGAAAAUUCAAAGACGUAUUUAAGUUGGGAGGAUUGCGUGCAAGGGAGCGAGGUGGGACUAAUAUAUGAAUCAAGCUUUCCUUACAACACAUCUGGUCAGUAGUUGUUUGCCAUCAGGUCACGAGUUCAAAUCACCAGACGAGCCAAUAUUUUUGCCUCCCCCGGACUGCACUGGGCCAUCCUUUGUUGGGCUGCAGAAACAACGACGCAGGUAGAUGCACUGCACCGUGCUUCGUUGGGCUGUGGAAGAUGGGCUGAAAACGACGCUGAGAGUAGAUGUGGUGUAGGAAAAAUCUUGGACAGGCAGAAAUUUUAGUACCACCUUAUAUAGAUUCUUAAACUAUAAUAUGAGAGCGAGGUGGACGGACCAAAAACGGACGAAAUUAUGGUGGUAAGAACCGAUAGCCCUUUUAUUAGUAGGUAUAGAUAUAGAUAUAGAUUAGUAUUGAGAGGUCUUUAAUCUGCCAAUAAAUGGUUUCCUUCUUUAUACCUCCAAACAUUGGUGCACAGCCUAAUGAAAUUACAGGUCCUACACGCAAAGAGGAAUAUUCCACUGUAUAAAUGGUUCUAGAACUAUUAGCUGUAAUGCAUUAUAAGAUACUACAACCUUAAUUUUAAACAUUUUGCGUACUAACAGAUAUGUAUUGCAAUUUUAAUUUGCGUCUCUGCAGCAAUUUGACUAUUCUUUGUCUUUUACGAUGCGGGUCCGCGGUGAGAGGUAACGCUGGCUGGCGCCUCACCACUGGCUAUUGUUUGACGGCGGCAAGGAGAAGGGCGCCAAGGGUGUGCUGCUCUGUGCACGGCCGUCAAAGUACAGCAUCGCUAUGAUGUGUGGUUUCUCUAUUUCCUCCUAUUGCAUGUUCCCAAUUUUACAAAUUGUUAAGUUGGUGCUUGAUUUCGCUUCAGAUUUUUCUGUGGCUUUCUCCAUUAGCAUGUUUCUCCUCAACGACCAUAUCAAUCUGGCUGGUGUUUGCACAUGUGAUUUUGGUUGAGGAGCACACGCUGAUCCAAUGAACAGGAGCGAAGUCGCCAACGCAUUCCGGCUAUUGAUCACCUUGAUCGGUCAAUUAUCAUCUUAAUGGUUAUCUGCAUUUCUGCGCCAUUGUUGAUGGUUCUGACCGUUGUCUAGCUGCAGUGGACAAGGAGGGGGGAGCAAGGACUAACUUUCGUGUUCCUGAUGGUCUGGAUGUUGGUUUUAUUCAGCAGUCACAGGGCUGCCUGCAUUAUGCUGGUUUUGACACAGAUGACAAUGAUGAUGAUGUUGUUCAACUGCUAGUUUAUGUUCUUCAAGACUAUGACAGCAAAGAGUGGAUACUGAAGCAUAGCGUCGAAACUUCACAUGUGUUUGGAGGGCGACACGUAGACGACUUUGGUAAGGACUUUGAUUGGAUUGCAAUUCAUCCAGAAUGUAACUUGAUCUUCUUCACUGUGGGUCGGCAUAUUACAUUCAUGUGCUACGAUAUGGAUAAUGGACAAGUCAAAGUGAUCUGCAAUCUUGAAGAAGGCAAGCCACCAUAUUUUCCAUAUGUGCCAUUAUAUGAAGAGCUACAAUUGUUGCACAGGUGAUGUUUUAUUCAUGCUAUGGGGCAGCGAGCAUGGUCUUGAAUUCGGUCCUCCUUUCACUGAUGUAUGCGUGUUAUAAAGUUUGGAGCAAUGCUGGUUCAUUCUGGGGACAAUGCUGGUUAUUCAAAAGUUUCAAUGUAGUUUCUGUUGCGUGUACUAGUGUUGUCUCUGUAUUACCAAUGGUUCUGGACAGAAGGAGAUGGUUAUACACUUCAAGUUACUAGUGUUGUUAGCUGAACAUCACAGCUACAAUGCUGCUGUUAAUAGGAAAUAUUGUGGAUCAUAAUGUUCAUCAUGUAGGCAACUUUCGACACAAAAUUUCUCCAGAAGACUAGGAAGUCAUCC